GGGAGCUUGCUCCCGGAUGUUAGCGGCGGACGGGUGAGUAACACGUGGGUAACCUGCCUGUAAGACUGGGAUAACUCCGGGAAACCGGAGCUAAUACCGGAUAGUUCCUUGAACCGCAUGGUUCAAGGAUGAAAGACGGUUUCGGCUGUCACUUACAGAUGGACCCGCGGCGCAUUAGCUAGUUGGUGAGGUAACGGCUCACCAAGGCGACGAUGCGUAGCCGACCUGAGAGGGUGAUCGGCCACACUGGGACUGAGACACGGCCCAGACUCCUACGGGAGGCAGCAGUAGGGAAUCUUCCGCAAUGGACGAAAGUCUGACGGAGCAACGCCGCGUGAGUGAUGAAGGUUUUCGGAUCGUAAAGCUCUGUUGUUAGGGAAGAACAAGUGCAAGAGUAACUGCUUGCACCUUGACGGUACCUAACCAGAAAGCCACGGCUAACUACGUGCCAGCAGCCGCGGUAAUACGUAGGUGGCAAGCGUUGUCCGGAAUUAUUGGGCGUAAAGGGCUCGCAGGCGGUUUCUUAAGUCUGAUGUGAAAGCCCCCGGCUCAACCGGGGAGGGUCAUUGGAAACUGGGAAACUUGAGUGCAGAAGAGGAGAGUGGAAUUCCACGU
rnacentral:rRNA from 1 species